rnacentral:rRNA from 1 species
GGGUUGUGAGGUUAAGCGACUAAGCGUACACGGUGGAUGCCCUGGCAGUCAGAGGCGAUGAAGGACGUGCUAAUCUGCGAUAAGCGUCGGUAAGGUGAUAUGAACCGUUAUAACCGGCGAUUUCCGAAUGGGGAAACCCAGUGUGUUUCGACACACUAUCAUUAACUGAAUCCAUAGGUUAAUGAGGCGAACCGGGGGAACUGAAACAUCUAAGUACCCCGAGGAAAAGAAAUCAACCGAGAUUCCCCCAGUAGCGGCGAGCGAACGGGGAGCAGCCCAGAGCCUGAAUCAGUGUGUGUGUUAGUGGAAGCGUCUGGAAAGGCGCGCGAUACAGGGUGACAGCCCCGUACACAAAAAUGCACAUAUUGUGAGCUCGAUGAGUAGGGCGGGACACGUGGUAUCCUGUCUGAAUAUGGGGGGACCAUCCUCCAAGGCUAAAUACUCCUGACUGACCGAUAGUGAACCAGUACCGUGAGGGAAAGGCGAAAAGAACCCCGGCGAGGGGAGUGAAAAAGAACCUGAAACCGUGUACGUACAAGCAGUGGGAGCACGCUUAGGCGUGUGACUGCGUACCUUUUGUAUAAUGGGUCAGCGACUUAUAUUCUGUAGCAAGGUUAACCGAAUAGGGGAGCCGAAGGGAAACCGAGUCUUAACUGGGCGUUAAGUUGCAGGGUAUAGACCCGAAACCCGGUGAUCUAGCCAUGGGCAGGUUGAAGGUUGGGUAACACUAACUGGAGGACCGAACCGACUAAUGUUGAAAAAUUAGCGGAUGACUUGUGGCUGGGGGUGAAAGGCCAAUCAAACCGGGAGAUAGCUGGUUCUCCCCGAAAGCUAUUUAGGUAGCGCCUCGUGAAUUCAUCUCCGGGGGUAGAGCACUGUUUCGGCAAGGGGGUCAUCCCGACUUACCAACCCGAUGCAAACUGCGAAUACCGGAGAAUGUUAUCACGGGAGACACACGGCGGGUGCUAACGUCCGUCGUGAAGAGGGAAACAACCCAGACCGCCAGCUAAGGUCCCAAAGUCAUGGUUAAGUGGGAAACGAUGUGGGAAGGCCCAGACAGCCAGGAUGUUGGCUUAGAAGCAGCCAUCAUUUAAAGAAAGCGUAAUAGCUCACUGGUCGAGUCGGCCUGCGCGGAAGAUGUAACGGGGCUAAACCAUGCACCGAAGCUGCGGCAGCGACGCUUAUGCGUUGUUGGGUAGGGGAGCGUUCUGUAAGCCUGUGAAGGUGUGCUGUGAGGCAUGCUGGAGGUAUCAGAAGUGCGAAUGCUGACAUAAGUAACGAUAAAGCGGGUGAAAAGCCCGCUCGCCGGAAGACCAAGGGUUCCUGUCCAACGUUAAUCGGGGCAGGGUGAGUCGACCCCUAAGGCGAGGCCGAAAGGCGUAGUCGAUGGGAAACAGGUUAAUAUUCCUGUACUUGGUGUUACUGCGAAGGGGGGACGGAGAAGGCUAUGUUGGCCGGGCGACGGUUGUCCCGGUUUAAGCGUGUAGGCUGGUUUUCCAGGCAAAUCCGGAAAAUCAAGGCUGAGGCGUGAUGACGAGGCACUACGGUGCUGAAGCAACAAAUGCCCUGCUUCCAGGAAAAGCCUCUAAGCAUCAGGUAACAUCAAAUCGUACCCCAAACCGACACAGGUGGUCAGGUAGAGAAUACCAAGGCGCUUGAGAGAACUCGGGUGAAGGAACUAGGCAAAAUGGUGCCGUAACUUCGGGAGAAGGCACGCUGAUAUGUAGGUGAAGUCCCUCGCGGAUGGAGCUGAAAUCAGUCGAAGAUACCAGCUGGCUGCAACUGUUUAUUAAAAACACAGCACUGUGCAAACACGAAAGUGGACGUAUACGGUGUGACGCCUGCCCGGUGCCGGAAGGUUAAUUGAUGGGGUCAGCGCAAGCGAAGCUCUUGAUCGAAGCCCCGGUAAACGGCGGCCGUAACUAUAACGGUCCUAAGGUAGCGAAAUUCCUUGUCGGGUAAGUUCCGACCUGCACGAAUGGCGUAAUGAUGGCCAGGCUGUCUCCACCCGAGACUCAGUGAAAUUGAACUCGCUGUGAAGAUGCAGUGUACCCGCGGCAAGACGGAAAGACCCCGUGAACCUUUACUAUAGCUUGACACUGAACAUUGAGCCUUGAUGUGUAGGAUAGGUGGGAGGCUUUGAAGUGUGGACGCCAGUCUGCAUGGAGCCGACCUUGAAAUACCACCCUUUAAUGUUUGAUGUUCUAACGUGGACCCGUGAUCCGGGUUGCGGACAGUGUCUGGUGGGUAGUUUGACUGGGGCGGUCUCCUCCUAAAGAGUAACGGAGGAGCACGAAGGUUGGCUAAUCCUGGUCGGACAUCAGGAGGUUAGUGCAAUGGCAUAAGCCAGCUUGACUGCGAGCGUGACGGCGCGAGCAGGUGCGAAAGCAGGUCAUAGUGAUCCGGUGGUUCUGAAUGGAAGGGCCAUCGCUCAACGGAUAAAAGGUACUCCGGGGAUAACAGGCUGAUACCGCCCAAGAGUUCAUAUCGACGGCGGUGUUUGGCACCUCGAUGUCGGCUCAUCACAUCCUGGGGCUGAAGUAGGUCCCAAGGGUAUGGCUGUUCGCCAUUUAAAGUGGUACGCGAGCUGGGUUUAGAACGUCGUGAGACAGUUCGGUCCCUAUCUGCCGUGGGCGCUGGAGAACUGAGGGGGGCUGCUCCUAGUACGAGAGGACCGGAGUGGACGCAUCACUGGUGUUCGGGUUGUCAUGCCAAUGGCACUGCCCGGUAGCUAAAUGCGGAAGAGAUAAGUGCUGAAAGCAUCUAAGCACGAAACUUGCCCCGAGAUGAGUUCUCCCUGACCCUUUAAGGGUCCUGAAGGAACGUUGAAGACGACGACGUUGAUAGGCCGGGUGUGUAAGCGCAGCGAUGCGUUGAGCUAACCGGUACUAAUGAACCGUGAGGCUUAACCUUACAACGCCGAAGCUGUU